UAUGCAUAUAGAAGAGGGAAAGGUUUUUGACAAAAGCACAUAAACACUUAGAACAGGUCCUUUUCUGUAUCAAGUUGAAUAUGCGAAUUCAAUUUGCAAUAUUAUGCAAGCUAUAGUAUAUAGCACGGUUAUGUUUAGGGGUCCGUGAAUGCCAUCUUACGUUGUCAGCACAACAGCAGUUGUGCCUUAUAGCGGGUCGAAAACCAGCAAAUGACACCAGUCGUAUAGAUGAUUGUGGGCAUCCUGCCGGUUUCUAGAGUCGUUACUUUUCCUCUGUUCCGUGUCACUCUAUUGCCUCAACGCCAGCUACCGCCGCAUUGAAUAACCGGCUCUUGCGGGUUACGCUCACUGUUAUUUCGAAACAACGACCUUAUACAGAUCUGGACCUAUAUAUGAAAAGGUUGAACAAAUCGCAGAGAGACAUCACGAAUUGUUUCUGAGUUUUAUCAUUGUCGAUCCGAAACAUAUUCUAUAGGUUUCGAAAGUACGAUCAGCCGUCAGACUAAAGUCUGGUCCUCGAACCAUGGUGCUCGCACCGUGUGUGUUGUUUGCCGCAAGGACAUUAAAUGAUCAAGACACGUUUAGAAGGAUUCGCUUGAAGUUUAACGUAGUCAGCAAAGAGAACUUUUGGAAAUGCACGAACAAAACUUAUCGUUCUGGCGAAACACGUGAGGUAUAGCUUGGCCAGAAGCUCCUUUUCGGCUCAUCCGCAUCGCUGAAUGUGACUGCUUGGCUUGUUUGAAAGCACAGUCUGACUUCGUGACUCGGAUUUCGAGAGGCGUGAACCUGAGCAUACGUAUGUGCCGCACACAGAAGACAGAUUGAAGCGAAAGAUCUGUGAAAGGUGAUAUGCGAGUGCUUCGUACGAGUGUUGUGCUCCUACUGGGCUUACUUUACCAAUAGGGGAUGAUUGUCCCACAUAUUUGCCAACGGAUACCGAUCAAUCAGUGGGAACGGUAAUUACACACGAAUAGUAUUUAUUGAUGUUUGAUUACGAUAGCAAUUGAGAUAUCUGCUCAGAGAUUUCCUCUUUGUAAAUCAGGGUAAUGGAAAUAUGUUGAAAUAGAGCCGAAGCAUGACCAACUUGAUAUUUUUGCAAUGACCUCUUACUAUAAUAGCGAUUCGAAUUUUUAUAGGCAAACAAAAACAGUUUAAUAACUUAGCCUAUCUCUAUCAUUAUUUACUAGUACUAUACUAUAUAAUAGAUAUAAGCAAUGUGUCAUUAUACCAUCGGAGACGUAAAACCUAUUGUAUAUAUAUAUACAGGGUGGAACAUUUGAUCGAUUGAUUUGUGUUAGCAAGUACGCAUUUACCCGUUAUUCUUGGUAUCGGAAGAAUGCUAGUUUUUUCUAAAAAAAAACUGUUUAUAGCGAAAACUAAUGCAUCAUUUUUCAUAUGCGACUUGAGGCAAAGAUCAGAUACUACUUACUUUUUCUGCGUUUGACAAAGUUUCUUGGAAGUUAAAGAUUUUCUUUCUUCACUGAUUGUGGUGAUCUACAUUUUUUUUUUCAAUUUUCAUCAAACGUCUAAAAAAUUGGAAAAAAAAAGAAAAAGAAAAAAGUGUUAGAAUAUAUCCAAUAGGUUUUACACUAAAGGAGCUUCAAAAA
rnacentral:lncRNA from 1 species